CACAACUUUGAGGGUCAUCAUCUUAGAGUGUCAUUACAAUCACAAAAACAACUAGGACACCACACUUCAACAGUUUUUGUUGGAAAUAUACACCGUGAUACUACUGAUAAUGAGUUAUACGAUUUCUUUAGCAAGGUCGGUGACAUCGAGUAUGUACGACAGAUUUCUGGAAAAUACAUUGGUUAUGUGUGUUUCAAAAAAGGUGUUUCCAUUGCAAAAGCCCUAAAACUCAACCAACAACUGCUGAACGGACGCCCACUCCGGAUCAUGAAGGUUGAUCAACGCCAUCAAAACACAAGAAGAAAUAAAAAAGGCAAUCUACUGAAGAAAAACGUGGUAGCCACAGGUGACAUGACGCCUGGCAAAAUUGAUGAUCGUAUGCUUUCGAAAAACAAAUCGAUGGAUGGUUUUCGCGGAAAUCUUGCGAAAGCCAAGAGAGGCCCGAAGCAGGUGACGAAAACUAAUGCUGAGCGUAAGAAAAAAAUGCUAGCCAUGAAGUUAACCGGAAACGGCAGAGGGAAAUCGAAAAGAACUUUAUAUUGAAUAACAUAGUGUUUAUAUUACUACAGUGAAAUAAAAGAAUUGCAUUACUUCGAUUAGUCAAA